UUUCUACUCCCUCCGUCCGGAAUUACUUGUCGCAAAAAUGAAUGUAUCUAGAACUAAAAUACGUCUAGAUACAUCGAUUUCUUCAACAAGUAAUUCCGAACGGAGGGAGUAGCUU
rfam:Triticum aestivum genome assembly, contig: Triticum_aestivum_CS42_TGACv1_scaffold_220750_3B